rnacentral:rRNA from 1 species
AUGUUGUGGCGGAGAACUCUGUCUGUCAUUGUUCUUCUCUUGGCUCUUUGGUAUAGAAACAAAGAUGGUAGAAAAUUUAGAAGUGGAGGAAGAAAGUAUGGUCCACUAGUUGAGAGAGACAUCUACAGGACUAAUGUCCUGGUUAGGCUAAUUGACACAUCCGAUGCAAUAUGUAUCAAGCAACUGCGGAUGUCUCGAGCUGUGUUUUACAAGCUAUGCAUUAGGCUCAGGCAGAAAAAGUUGUUAAUUGAUACACUACAUGUUUCAGUAGAGGAACAAGUAGCAAUGUUCCUAUACAUGAUCGGUCAGCAUCACACAAAUUCAUCCAUUGGAUUUUGGUUCUGGCGAUCUAGUGAAACAGUGAGCAGAUAUUUCAAUAUUGUUCUUCGUGCGAUGGGGGAGUUAGCUCGUGAUCUCAUUUACAUUAGAUCAACGGACACACACACAAAAAUCACUAGCAGCCCGGACAGAUUCUACCCGUAUUUUGAGGUAACCCUUAGACCGUAG